rnacentral:rRNA from 1 species
CAGUAGCCGCGGGAAUACGUAGGGUGCAAGCGUUAAUCGGAAUUACUGGGCGUAAAGCGUGCUCAGGCGGUUAUAUAAGACAGAUGUGAAAUCCCCGGGCUCAACCUGGGAACUGCAUUUGUGACUGUAUAGCUAGAGUACGGCAGAGGGGGAUGGAAUUCCGCGUGUAGCAGUGAAAUGCGUAGAUAUGCGGAGGAACACCGAUGGCGAAGGCAAUCCCCUGGGCCUGUACUGACGCUCAUGCACGAAAGCGUGGGGAGCAAACAGGAUUAGAUACCCCUGUGUCCCUGUCUCUUAUACA